rnacentral:lncRNA from 1 species
AUGGUUUUUAACAGCCCUAACCCUCCGCAGCCCGGCCUUUAUUCUCGCAGCUCACCUUCACCUCCCCUGGCGCCUGUCCGGCAGGCGCUACCCUCGGAAUCCGCACCGAGCGGUCAGGGCACACAGCACCGACUUCCUGGAGCUUCCCUCCCUGGGAAACGAGACGAACCCCCAUAUUCCAGGUGUGGUCCGGGCUGGGAGAAGCAGGCGGCCAGGUGGGGGGUGAGCGCAGCUCGGGGGCGACCCCUCCCGCACACGGGGUCAGAGCCCUCGACAGCAUCAGGACCAGCGGGAAGGCCGGUGCACCUGCCACCACCGACAGGGGGACGCCGCGGGGGGGCCAGGCCAGAGCUUUGGCUUCUCCCCAGGGGAGAGGGAACUGAAGCCGCGGGAGGGCCUGCAGCCGAGGGCCACCAGGAUGUACGCGGCCGUGGAGGCGCCGGUGCCCCCCUGCGCCGACCGCCAACAGAGGCCAGGCCAGGCAGGCUCCGGCCACCAUCCAGGCAGCAGGUGACGGGGAGUCGGAAGAGCAGACCCCGGGGCCGAGACAAGCACUCGGGCGAGGCCCAGCCAGGAGACCCCCCCACCACCUGGGGAGACGAACUACGCGGCGGGACAGCCAGUGGCCCAAACGACCCUGAGAGCCAGCAGCGCGCCGGGGCGGGGGCCACGGGCUUUGGUGCCAAGAAGAGGAGGUGCGCGGGCGGCGAGGGGCUCGGACGCCGGACGCAGACAAGCACUAAGCGCAGGGACCGUCCUUGUCCGGGGCUGCCCAGCGAGUGUGGACAGAGGAAGAACAGGCUGGAGGAGCAGGGCCUGGAGCGGGGCGGCGAGGCCACCCGCUGGGAACCCCAUAAACAGGACGCAGGGAAGGCAAGCUCCACCCAGGGCCUGGCCCAGAAGCCGCGGGCCCGACGGCGCAGGACGGUGAAGAGCAGUCGGCGUGACGCGUCCCUGCACAGCCCCGGACAGGCGCCCUGGGGCUUCUCCGCGCUGCACAAGAUCAGGGGGUCCACAAGAGCAUCUCCCCUGCCACCCCGGCCAGCGGAGGCCAGUGGAGGCCAGCGGCGGCCAGCGUCCGCAUCCACACAAGCUCGCUCGGUGGGAGGAGGCACAGCGAUGCCGGCUCCCCAUGCUGGCCAUGUCUGGGAAGCCCCGGUCCCAUCCCCGUGUCAGCCCGCGUGCUCCCUUCCAGGCCAACUCAGGGUGGCAGAGGAGCUUGGGGGGCUCGCACCUGGCUCCGCAGCCCCCCUGCGAAGCCCCGUGGGCCCCGUGCUCCCCGCAGGCUCAGCUCCCGGCCGUGGCCGCACCACUAGGGCUGCAGGGAGCCUCGCGGCUACUGUCCCCCACGCAGCCUGGGAGCUCCUAGUGAAGACACGGUCCUGA